AUUGAACGCUGGCGGCAGGCCUAACACAUGCAAGUCGAGCGAGCGGCGGACGGGUGAGUAAUGUCUGGGAAACUGCCUGAUGGAGGGGGAUAACUACUGGAAACGGUAGCUAAUACCGCAUACCCUCAGAUGUGCCCAGAUGGGAUGAGCUAGUAGGUGGGGUAACGUGUCACCUAGGCGACGAUCCAUAGCUGGUCUGAGAGGAUGACCAGCCACACUGGAACGGAGACACUGUCCAAACGCCUACGGGAGGCAGCGUGGGGGAAUAUGGCACAAUGGGGGCAAGCCUGAUUCAGCGAUGCCGCGUGUGGGAAGAAGGCCUUCGGGUUGUAAAGCUCUUUCAGCGGGGAGGCGUUACCCGCAGAAGAAGCACCGGCUAACUCCGUGCCAGCAGCCGCGGUAAUAC
rnacentral:rRNA from 1 species